AUUGAACGCUGGCGGCAUGCCUUACACAUGCAAGUCGAGCGGCAGCGGGAAAGUAGCUUGCUACUUUUGCCGGCGAGCGGCGGACGGGUGAGUAAUGCCUGGGAAAUUGCCCAGUCGAGGGGGAUAACAGUUGGAAACGACUGCUAAUACCGCAUACGCCCUACGGGGGAAAGCAGGGGACCUUCGGGCCUUGCGCGAUUGGAUAUGCCCAGGUGGGAUUAGCUAGUUGGUGAGGUAAUGGCUCACCAAGGCGACGAUCCCUAGCUGGUCUGAGAGGAUGAACAGCGACACUGGAACUGAGACACGGUCCAGACUCCUACGGGAGGCAGCAGUGGGGAAUAUUGCACAAUGGGGGAAACCCUGAUGCAGCCAUGCCGCGUGUGUGAAGAAGGCCUGCGGGUUGUAAAGCACUUUCAGCGAGGAGGAAAGGUUGAUGCCUAAUACGUAUCAACUGUGACGUUACUCGCUGAAGAAGCACCGGCUAACUCCGUGCCAGCAGCCGCCGCAGUAA
rnacentral:rRNA from 1 species